CAACUUUCAACAACGGAUCUCUUGGCUCUCGCAUCGAUGAAGAACGCAGCC
rnacentral:rRNA from 1 species